GUGUGGGUUUAAGGGCUGAUGACUGAAGAUGAAUUGAUUCCGAUCCUUCCAAAUGCACCAAAGAACUGUGGCAACUAGUUCAAACUUCUGUUUGGGUCUUUCCAAAUGUGGGCUGUCCAGGGGCAGAGCAAUAAAGUAUGCUCAAUCGUCUCAGGUUCCAACUUGCAUAAUGGGCAUAUCGAUUCAGGAAUAAGAGUGAUUCGGGUUCUAUUCAUGGCUGGGUUGAUGGUUCCAGAGUCAAAGAAACGCUGUACUUCACUGAAUAUAUCCCCACCUAUGUCUUGCCAGUGAUGAUGGAAAAAUAGGCCAUUCAGACCAUCCGGUCCAGGAGCUUUGGUAGCCCCCAUUUGAACAGGUAAUGUUGACAAGAGAAGAGGACUGUGAUCUGAACCAAUGGCUGGUAAGGCUGUAACUUCGGCAUUCGGGUACGCUAUCCUCCAUUCCAUCGUGCAUAAUGCUCUGUCCAGCCUUUCUUUGACAUUUUCAUCACCCUCUCUUCUAUUUGUCCAGGUAAAUGCGCACCCUUUGGCUUCCAGAUCCAUUAGGGAACUAGCAUAUAAAAAAUCUCUGAAUGCGAUAAGGCGACAGUGUUCAGCCAUCCUCUUGCCUACCUUUUCCCAAUGAUAUAAUAUUUCAUUAAAAUCUCCGAUGCAUAUCCAAGGGCUGUGAUUGGAGAUAUUAAUUCUUUGUAUUUCAUCCCAGAGUAUAAGACGUUCAUGAAAUGCAUUAGGAGCAUGUAGGAAAGUGAUUUGCAUAUUCCUUCUAUUUUCAUGCAAAAAGCAAUGUACAUUAAUAUAGGAAGUAGAAUGAGAAUUGAUUGAAAGAGAAACCUGAUCA